rnacentral:rRNA from 1 species
GAUGAACGCUAGCGAUAGGCUUAACACAUGCAAGUCGAGGGGCAGCAUGGUCUUAGCUUGCUAAGACUGAUGGCGACCGGCGCACGGGUGCGUAACGCGUAUGCAACUUGCCUCACAGAGGGGGAUAACCCGUCGAAAGACGGACUAAUACCGCGUACACUUGGGAUAGGGCAUCCUGACCCAAGGAAAUGAAAUUCGCUGUGAGAUAGGCAUGCGUCCCAUUAGCUAGUUGGUGAGGUAACGGCUCACCAAGGCGACGAUGGGUAGGGGAACUGAGAGGGUGAACCCCCAAACUGGUACUGAGACACGGGCCAGACUCCUACGGGAGGCAGCAGUGAGGAAGAUUGGUCAAUGGGCGAGAGCCUGAACCAGCCAAGUCGCGUGAAGGAUGACUGUCUUAUGGAUUGUAAACUUCUUUUAUACGGGAAUAACAAGAGCCACGUGUGGCUCCCUGCAUGUACCGUAUGAAUAAGCAUCGGCUAACUCCGU